rnacentral:rRNA from 1 species
UGGCGGCGUGCUACCAUGCAGUCGAACGGAAAUAUUCAAAGAGCAAUCCGAGGAUAUUUUAGUGGCGAACGGGUGAGUAACGCGUGAGUAACCUGUCCAGAUGAGGGGGAUAACAACGAGAAAUCGUUGCUAAUACCGCAUAAGACCACACUGUCGCAUGGCAGAGAGGUCAAAGGAGCAAUCCGCAUUUGGAGGGGCUCGCGUCCCAUUAGAUAGUUGGUGAGGUAACGGCUCACCAAGUCUGCGAUGGGUAGCCGAGCUGAGAGGCUGAUCGGCCACACUGGAACUGAGACACGGUCCAGACUCCUACGGGAGGCAGCAGUGGGGAAUAUCGGGCAAUGGGCGCAAGCCUGACCCAGCAACGCCGCGUGAGGGAAGAAGGUUUUCGGAUUGUAAACCUCUGUCCUGGGGGACGAAAAAAAUGACGGUACCCCGGGAGGAAGCCCCGGCAAACUACGUGCCAGCAGCCGCGGUAAUACGUAGGUGGCAAGCGUUGUCCGGAAUAACUGGGCGUAAAGCGCAUGUA